AUGGAAAAUGAAACCAUCAGUGCCGGCGACAGGCUGCUGACCGGGCGGGAGAGAGCGCGUGGAGCGCCAGGGCUGUGGCUCCCGUCUGUGCCCUCCCCACGGGGGCCAGGCCACGGGCACGCCCUCGGGCAGCUCCCUCUGCCGGGCGCUGCACGGGGACUUCCUCCAGGGCUGGCCCAGGGCUGGCGGGAUCCCUGGACCUGGUUCUCAGACGGGCUCCUCUCGGCGAGCGUGGAAGGGAAGGCGGCCCUCGGCGGCAGCGACGUGGGCCUCAGCUCGCCCGGCUGGAUGCGUCUCAUCUGUGCACGCGCGCGGCUCACUGCUCACAGCUGCGGGGGCCAUGGGGGCGUUGUCACCACUUCAAGGAGGACACUGAGACUUGGGAGACUCCGGCUGUGCCUGGGCUCGCGGCCAGGAGCCAGGAGUGGGAUCCAGCGCCGCCCGCCUCCUCCUGCUGCCUCCACACUGGAUCCUACUGGCCCCAGGGUGUGGGCACAGCUUAGCCGGCCGCCUCUCGAGCCAUGAGUCCCCUUACAGGGGUGCACAGGCCACGUGUCCACGCAAGCCCCAGGUUCUGUGGCCUCACCACGCACGCACAAACACCAGCCUUGGGUGCUGACGGCAGGAGGCAGUGCACCUGCUCCUGGGGCUUCCCCAGGGGGAAUGGCUGGCCACCACUGACGUGGCUAAAGCGGUGUGACUGCUUGGCUGAGCUGUGGAGCCCAGAUAUCUGGUUCAACCUUUUUUUUAUUCCAGUUUGUUUGUUUGUUUUUUUUUUUUUUUUU
rnacentral:lncRNA from 1 species